UACGUAGGGUGCGAGCGUUGUUCGGAAUUAUUGGGCGUAAAGGGCUCGUAGGCGGUUUGUCACGUCGGGAGUGAAAACUCGGGGCUCAACCCCGAGCCUGCUUCCGAUACGGGCAGACUAGAGGUAUGCAGGGGAGAAUGGAAUUCCUGGUGUAGCGGUGAAAUGCGCAGAUAUCAGGAGGAACACCGGUGGCGAAGGCGGUUCUCUGGGCAUUAACUGACGCUGAGGAGCGAAAGCAUGGGGAGCGAACAGG
rnacentral:rRNA from 1 species